AUUUCCCCGGAACAGCUCGCCCCUCUCAACAGGACUCUGAGGCUCCACUACGUUGCUGUUAUUCCUGACAGAGUGAUGAAAGGAAAUUUAAACAAGUGGCAUUUUGUAAAACCACCCCAGCCUGUGUGACUUUCAAUGCCUGUCCGAUUUGGCUGGGAAAAUAUUUUAGAUCCCCAGGGCUACAUACUGUUUUUUAUACCCUCCUCUUUGUGUCAGUGAUGGAAAAGGUGUCAAUCUGCUCUGAAUCUCUCUGAACACCUCAGGAAAUAGGCUUUUGGCUCGCAGAGAGGGGAUGAGAAAUAGUUUUGAACCACCAAGUCUCUUGGAGGGUGUCAGCAGCCCCUUGAAGUAAAAGUGUGGCUGCAAACCCAGCUCUCUGCAUUAGCCAGGUGAACCUGAGCAUGCUGCAUACACCCUCAGUCUUGGUUUCUUAAUAUGUAAAAUGGGAAUGAAUAUGCGCACCUCGUGGGGUGGUUGUGAUUAAAGGCAUUCAUUAUAAAGAGCUUAGUUUCAUACAAAGUGAUCAGAAGUGUUGGUUUCCCUCCUUAAGUUUUCUUCUCAUUCCUUUUUCCCCUGCGCUUACAGCCAUGCAGUGUACAUUCAAGAAAUUUCCAUGAGGGCAUGAGGUGUCCAGUGUUAGCCUCAAAUCAAGCAUCCACGAGGUAGUUAGUGUAUACAUUAUAUACAUUUAAAGAGGAGGUCUUAGGAAAAGCCAAACCCUGUCUCAAAAUGAGCUUCCACUCUCACCUGGAUGCCAAGUAACACACACACACAAACAAAGGGCAGUAUGGAGUUCACAAGGGAAUGUUCCCGUUUAACUGGAGUCAGCUGAGCUGGAUUCUAGUCCAAUUUCUGCCAGUUAUUCCCUGUGUGACCCAUGUGAUAAAAUGUAUAGAAGGCUUAAAGUGUGCCAAGCAUUGUGGAUUAUAGCACUUAAUUCUCACACUGAUCCAUAUGGUUACUCCUGCUAUUAUCCCCAUUUUACAGAUGAGCAAACUGAGAGAGGUUACAUAACUUGACUCAGGUCACAGUAAAUACAUGGUGGAGCCAGGCUUUGAGACCAGGUAGUAUGAUUCCAGAGCCCACACCUUCCCUGCUGCAUCAUACUAAAUGGGGGCAAGUCACUUAGCCUCUGGGCCUCAGUUUUUCUCAUCUGAACAGAAAGGGGGCCAGACUAGGCGCCACCCAGGGCUCCUUUCAGCUCCAACUUUCUAUACAUCUACUAAGAAAAUUACAUAUGGAUGCUAAAUAAGUUAGGCCCAGGGUGCUUUUAAGAGAAACGUCAAAGUGGAUAGGGUUGCUUCAUUUCCCAGGGGUGGAAAGCCACUAAAAUAUUUCUUCUGUGUUCCUGGUUCCAAUUUGCCACUCAAAAAGCCAAACAAAGAAAUCAUCCCCCAGAGUUCCAUUCCAAUUGAUUUAGAUCCCUGAGGCUAAUUUUGACCAAAAUGGAAGGAGAAGCAGAAGGUGUGGAAACCCAUGGCUUUCUGCACAACAGAUACACAUGAUGAGAAGUCUGUAUUCUCUUACACACAUAUACACACACACACACACACACAACCAGUGUUCAUAUCGCCUUCCACUGAAGCUCAUACCAGUUCCUCUAGCCAAGUUGUCAUGGCAACACCAGCUGCCAAUGAGAUCAUGGAAGACAAGGUCAUAAUGGCAAUGGUGCCUUAAUAUUUUACCUGGCAAAGCCACUUAGUUAUUAAGAUGAAUAACCAUAAGUCAUAAACUCAUAGGAAGCUAGGCACCAUUCAUGUACAUGUUUAGUGUACAAUUGGGGGUGGGGAAUGGAAAUGACAGCGAAGGGAAAGGAACAAAAAGGAAGAGAGGAUGAGGCAGAGAGCGGAGAAGAAGGUCUCUGAUGCUGAUCCUUAUUUUUCAGUGUGGACCAUGCACAGGUGCUGACCCUACCUGUACAUGGAUUAAGGAACUGGGCUCUUCCUAAUGACAAGAAGUGGGGGGCGGGUCAUGGGAUCCCAGCCUCAAUCACAAAAGCCUUAUCAGAAACCCAAGGCGACUGCUUUCUGGCAUUCACUCCUAGCAGAAGAGAGCAGCAGCACAGGGAAGAGACUCAUCUACUCACCUGAGGAUUAUGAGGAUUAUGAGUUUUAUGGAGCAAAAUUUGCCUAGAACAGGUUGUCAGCUUCUGUGGACACAGUCUUCUACCCUCAGAAAUCCCAUUGGAAGAAAGAACAAAUGAAGCAUCCCAAGGACUGGAGGAUUCUCUUCCCCCAGGGUAUUCAAGGAAGACACUGGGGAACAAAUUGAACAAAGUUUAUUUCAUCAACAAUGAAAAAUGCCCAGAAGGAAAUGAAGCACAAGAUUCAGUUACACAAAGAUGAAAGCUAUUGACCACUUGGCCACUUCUCAUACUAAAAGAGAAGGAAAUAACACGAAGUACUGGAAGUGACAUUAUAUUGUCCUCAUGGUGACAACCAGGAUGGGCCUGACAUAAGCCAGUCCAGGCUGUAUGUGUGGCCCGAGUGCACACAUGCGGUUUCUCUGGCCACCGAAUCAGAACCAGCUGGGCCCCACAAGUCAGUCUCUGGGGGCUGUGAUUCUGCAUUGCAAACAAGUCCUUGGGUAGCUCUCAGGGUUCACCAAGAUUUGAGAACCACUAGUGUGGCUGACUCCAGUGAAACAGUCCCACUUUUACUGCUUUCAACUGUCAUUUAUAUAGAUUCAGGCAAAGAAUGGUUUUUAGAAUGAUGCCCGAUGUAGCAAAUAAAAUGAUCUCAACAUAUA